rnacentral:rRNA from 1 species
GUGGGGAAUCUUGCGCAAUGGGCGAAAGCCUGACGCAGCCAUGCCGCGUGAAUGAUGAAGGUCUUAGGAUUGUAAAAUUCUUUCACCGGGGACGAUAAUGACGGUACCCGGAGAAGAAGCCCCGGCUAACUUCGUGCCAGCAGCCGCGGUAAUACGAAGGGGGCUAGCGUUGCUCGGAAUUACUGGGCGUAAAGGGCGCGUAGGCGGACAGUUUAGUCAGAGGUGAAAGCCCAGGGCUCAACCUUGGAAUUGCAUUUGAUACUGGCUGUCUUGAGUACGGGAGAGGUGAGUGGAACUCCGAGUGUAGAGGUGAAAUUCGUAGAUAUUCGGAAGAACACCAGUGGCGAAGGCGACUCACUGGCCCGUUACUGACGCUGAGGCGCGAAAGCGUGGGGAGCAAACAGGAUUAGAAACCCUGGUAGUCC